AAAGGGUAGCAAUACCUGAGUAAAGCGGCGCACGGGUGAGUAACACGUGGAUAACCUGCCUCAAAGUGGGGAAUAACACCGGGAAACCGGUGCUAAUACCGCAUAUUCUGACGAGAUCUGUGGAUUUUGUCAGGAAAGGAGCAAUUCGCUAUGAGAGGGGUCCGCGGCUGAUUAGCUAGUUGGUGAGGUAAUGGCUCACCAAGGCUUCGAUCAGUAGCCGGUCUGAGAGGACGGUCGGCCACACUGGAACUGAGACACGGUCCAGACUCCUACGGGAGGCAGCAGUGGGGAAUUUUUCGCAAUGGGGGCAACCCUGACGAAGCAAUGCCGCGUGGAUGAUGAAGUAUCUCGGUACGUAAAAUCCUUUCGACGGGGACGAAGCCGCAAGGUUGACGGUACCCGUAGAAGAAGCCCCGGCUAACUCCGUGCCAGCAGCCGCGGUAAUACGGGGGGGGCAAGCGUUGUUCGGAAUUACUGGGCGUAAAGGGUGCGUAGGCGGCUUUCUAAGUCGGAUGUGAAAACUCUGGGCUCAACCCAGAGCCUGCAUCCGAAACUGGAGAGCUAGGGUUCUGGAGGGGAAAGCGGAAUUCCUGGUGUAGCGGUGAAAUGCGUAGAUAUCAGGAGGAACACCGGUGGCGAAGGCGGCUUUCUGGACAGAUACCGACGCUGAGGCACGAAAGCUAGGGGAGCAAACAGGAUUAGAUACCCUGGUAGUCCUAGCCCUAAACUAUGGAUACUUGCUGUGGGGGGGAUUGAAGCCCCUUGUGGCGAAGCUAACGCAUUAAGUAUCCCGCCUGGGGAGUACGGUCGCAAGGCUGAAACUC
rnacentral:rRNA from 1 species